rnacentral:rRNA from 1 species
GACGAACGCUGGCGGCAGGCCUAACACAUGCAAGUCGAGCGAACCCUUCGGGGUUAGCGGCGGACGGGUUAGUAACGCGUGGGAAUAUACCCUUUGGUACGGAAUAGCCUCGGGAAACUGACGAGUAAUACCGUAUGUGCCCUUCGGGGGAAAGAUUUAUCGCCAAAGGAUUAGCCCGCGUUGGAUUAGAUACGUUGGUGGGGUAAUGGCCUACCAAGUCUACGAUCCAUAGCUGGUUUGAGAGGAUGAUCAGCAACACUGGGACUGAGACACGGCCCAGACUCCUACGGGAGGCAGCAGUGGGGAAUCUUAGACAAUGGGCGCAAGCCUGAUCUAGCCAUGCCGCGUGGACGAUGAAGGCCUUAGGGUUGUAAAGUCCUUUCAGAUGGGAAGAUAAUGACGGUACCAUCAGAAGAAGCCCCGGCUAACUCCGUGCCAG